rnacentral:tRNA from 1 species
UCAGAAGUAGCUCAGUUGGUAGAGCAAUCGACCAGCAAGACGGUAGGCCCUGGGUUCAAAUCCCAGCUUCUGAC